AAACAAGAACAUCAUAUUACGUUUCAUAUUUGGCAGCAAACAAGGACAUCAUGUUAGAUUAGUCGAAAACCAAGCAAGUAGGCAACCAACGAGGCAAGGAUGCAGUACAGUGAGCAAGAAAUGGUUUAUAGAAAUCUCUGUUUCUCUCUCUCGCCAAUGCUCACUGCAGGACUGCUUCCCAAGCAUGAAAAGAACUCCUACCUCUGCCGCCUCCCUUGACAUCCCCGUCUCUCUUUCUCUCUCUCUGAAUCCGUGAUCGGUCCGAAGAACUCGACAAUGGGCGUUCUGCGCCACCGCUGCCGCCGUCUCUCCGCUGCCAUCGUCUUCUUCGUCCUUGCCGUAGCUCUCGGGAGUGCAUUGGUAGGAAUUGCUCAGGAAGUGGGAGACACAGGGCUGAGGCCUUCGGAAAGAGAGAACUGGGUAGCUCGGAGGCGACUAGCCGGCCCUGGGUCGUCGCCGCCUACCUGCCGGGCUCGCUGCGGCCGGUGCUUCCCCUGCCGGCCGGUUCACGUGGCGAUCCAGCCGGGCCGAAGCGUUCCACUCGAGUACUACCCGGAGGCAUGGCGAUGCGAGUGCGGCAGCAAGCUCUUCAUGCCAUGAGAACCGAGGAGGAACGAAAACACAAAGAGUGGUGAGGGUAAAUUUGCACAAUUCUUAGAUACGCCUGCAAUAUGAAUUGGUUCAGCUU